GGUCCUACGGGACGCAGCAGUGGGGAAUAUUGGACAAUGGGGGAAACCCUGAUCCAGCGACGCCGCGUGAGUGAAGAAGUAUUUCGGUACGUAAAGCUCUAUCAGCAGGAAAGAAAAUGACAGUACCUGACCAAGAAGCCCCGGCUAACUACGUGCCAGCAGCCGCGGUAAUAUGUAGGGGGCAAGCGUUAUCCGGAUUUACUGGGUGUAAAGGGAGCGCAGGCGGCGUGGCAAGUCAGAUGUGAAAACCCGGGGCCCAACCCCG
rnacentral:rRNA from 1 species